rnacentral:lncRNA from 1 species
UAAUUUCCCUUUCACUUGCGUUGCUUCUUUUAUCCUUUCCUCCCUCCCUCUUUUUACCUUUUUGAAACACCAAGUUUUCUAUUUUAAAGAAAUAUAUAUCCUAUCUGUUUCUUUAAGUUUGGACAAACGAAAGUUGAAAUUCGUUGGAACAAAGCAGAAAAUUUGCACAGUCAAAGCACACUUUUAGAGCUUCUGGUGAAAAGGUCGUGUAGAGUGAAAACAUAGCAACCAUAGAAAACGGUUUUUACUGUUUGGCUAAGUGUCACUGAUGUUGGGUAUAUUUUUAUAUGUUUUGAUGUUACUUUACCUAUGUUUUAACCGCUUUUUGUUGCUAUUUGGUGUUAAAAAUGCCCAACAUGGUUUAAUUAUUGGUUUUAUGACUAAUUGAGUUGUGUGUGAUGAUUUAGGGUGUUUGGAGUGCAAAAAUAUGAAGAAAAGAUGCUCCAACUAGAGGAGAAAAGGUUACUUGAUGCACCCCUUAGCAGUGAAGUCGGCCCAUAGCAUCUCCAUAGCAUCCGCACCUGGGCAAGGCUGAGAUGGAGGAACAAAGGGUAGGUGCAUGCGAAGCUGAGAAGCGGAGGACCCAACAUCAAUCCCUGAAGCUGAGUCGGACUAGGAAUAGGAGAACUUUAGCCCACGACUUUUGUACGCACUAUAUAAGCC